rnacentral:lncRNA from 1 species
AGAUCUCUCUCUCUGCGGAAGCCAGCCACCGCUCUCCAAGGACUCUCGAGCAGCUCCAUCUACAGAUUCACAUGGAGAAGAAUUAAGGGUUCCUGCCAAUCACCAGCACCACUUUGCCAGCCUUGUAAGUGGGCCACCUUGGAAUUGGAGCCUCCAGUUCCUACUGACAUCUGACUGCAACAUCAUGAGAGACCCUGAGUUUGAACCACCCAGCUGAGCUGCUUCUGAGCUAACCCACUGAAACCACAGUUGGCAUCUGUGUGAAGAUGUGAAUGGAGGAGGCAGAGUAGGCAGUGAGUGCCGCAGCCACAGCUUGUGUUCUCUGCAGCCCUGGCACAGAAGAUAGGAACACUCAUGGGGGAUGCGGCCACUGUGAUGUCUUCCCACACAAGAAGUGCCAAGUGCUUUUCUCAUGCUUUUCUGGAUUGUCCCAUGGUGGACGAGUCAGCAGGAGUGAGAUGGAGCAGCACAGUAGAGGGGCCAGGAUAUCGUUGUACAUAUUCUCAGCUAAGUGAGCACCAAUAGAGGAGAGGGAGAGUCUCAUGGAAGUUCCUUCUAAGCCUUUGGCUCUUUUUACCUUCAACAAGGUGUGCCACCUCUUUGAUCCAGCAAGUGGGAAGAACAGUCCCGGCCUCUUUGCACACAAGACCGUGAUACCAAUGCACCAUCACAGGCCCCACAGGGGAGCUGUCCGCUUCCCCACACAGCUGCUAGGGGCUCUUUUGCAUGUUCCCAACCUUUCCUGCCUUUAUCUGAUAUUCGUUCCUUAGAUCCUGGGAUGAGGAGGUGGACCAGCAGAAGGUGGGCUUGUGAAGGCAGCCCGGGGUCCAAAUCCUCCUGGCUCUUCAGCUUAGCGGGUUAGUUAACAUUCAGAAGCCUUCAUCUCCCAUCUGCAAAAUGGGCAUGUCCAACUCAGAAGCUGCCUUGAAGAAAGGGUCUACCCAGCAUGGUGCGUGGAGCCUAAGCAGUCAGUACUUCAGGACUUCACCCGGCCCCUUUCCAAUAACUGCUGCUGUCGCCCUCACAGGAUGUCACCUUCAGCGUCUGAAAGCUGGGUUUGAUGCGUCUGGAAAGGCGUCCCUGACAGGCGUCGUUGCCAGGAGCCCCUAGUGCCACCAGCAGCCAGCAGGGGAGGGCGUCCUCUGCCCGCUCACUUCUGACCCUUCUCUCGUUGCACCCGGAACAUGGUGCAGCUGGGAGCAGCCUGGGCUGCGCGGAAGGCUCAGAUUUGGGGACGGCCCUUGCCAGUGACUGUGAGCUGGGGUGUCUUGGAAACUCCCAGUCUCAGCUUCUCCAUUUAUAAGAUGAGAAUGAUCAUACCAGACUCAGGCAAGGUUGUUUGUGCAUUAGUGAAAUCAGACGUAUUAAAUAAAGUACCACAUUGAUCGUGGAGUUGUUGAAUAACCAAGAACACGCCUAUCUGUCUCCAAAAAAUAAA